ACACUUUCUGCAAUGCCUACCAACUCAAGUUUUAAAGUCUCAAAUUUUACCUUAAUAUAAAAUGGCUCGAAUCAGAUAUAUAAUAUUUUUUCAUAUAAAAUAUUACAUAUUGACAGCAAUAGCCCAGUUGCUGAUUUAUUGAUAAUAUCUUUGACCUUUAGACAUUUUUUUUCUAUUAUACAUAAGAAAAUAUCGACUAGGUAACAGGAAGAAAUGAGAAAAGGUAGAGAGACAAUAGUGAAGACUGGUAGGUGCUGGAGUACAAAAGGUUAUGUGGGAUUCUUCUAGAAUGCUGAUUACAGCUUGAUCUUAUCAAGCUCUGGCAUGGGAGACCACUUGAAUUCAUCUCCAGCCCUGGGACAGUGAAAUAAGAACUUUCUUUUUCUCUUCUGAAAUUUUAAGCUCUUUACAGACACACUUUUUACUUAAUCUGCAUGACAUCAGAGAAAGAGACUUACCAGCUUUUGAAACUGAAAGAAGACUAUCCCAGAGGAAAUAUGCAUGGAAGCACCAAGAAGCACAGAGGGAAUCAAAGCCAAAUGACUUUAAGUAUCCAUCUCCAUCGGCUGGGUCCUUCGAGGCUUCAGCCUGCUGUGAAUAAACAUUUCAUUCAUUCUACAGUUUGAUUCCCCUGGUUCUUCUUUGGCUUCUCACUGUGAUCUGUCUUCAGAAAAAAGUGCAGUAACCAUGGUACACGAAUGUGAAAGUCUUUGUAACAUAUUUUCAUUACAUUUUCUCGCACAUUGA